rnacentral:rRNA from 1 species
AGGAUGAACGCUGGCGGCGUGCCUAAUACAUGCAAGUCGAACGAGCUCUUCGGAGCUAGUGGCGGACGGGUGAGUAACACGUUGGUACCUACCCCGAAGUGGGGAAUAACUGCCCGAAAGGGUGGCUAAUACCGCAUAAUACCGCAAGGUUAAAGCGAGUAAUCGCGCUUCGGGAGGGGCCUGCGUCCCAUUAGCUAGUUGGUAGGGUAAUGGCCUACCAAGGCGACGAUGGGUAGCUGGAUCGAGAGGUUGACCAGCCACACUGGGACUGAGAUACGGCCCAGACUCCUACGGGAGGCAGCAGUAAGGAAUCUUCCACAAUGGACGAAAGUCUGAUGGAGCAACGCCGCGUGCAGGAUGACGGUCUUCGGAUUGUAAACUGCUUUUAUAUGGGAAGAUUAUGACGGUACCAUAUGAAUAAGGACCGGCUAACUACGCGCCAGAGCCGC